UGCACACACCAGGAAAUGCUUCACAGCUAAUUUGGAAAAUGGGGAAUUUGGGAGUUAGAAACAAGAAGGGAGAACUUAGGGAAAUAUUAAAUCUUUGGCAAUUUUUUUUCUAAUUGGUUGCUGCUGUUUUAUGAAUCACCAUGGAUUUUUGUAUAUUCAUCUCCCAUCUGUGAUCUGGAACAAGAUGAACAAAUAUUUCAUAAAAUGGCCACUGACCCACUGGGCUCCUCACUGUCUUGGAGAAGCCCAACCAGGAGUCCAUUUCUGUAGCCAGUGCCAGAAGAUGGGGUCAGGCUCAUCGCUUUCACCCCAGCUAGCUGAGCUACAGAUGUUAUUCAUAUUCAUCCCA